rnacentral:lncRNA from 1 species
CACCCUGGUAACUAUCCCUAUGACCUUAUGAACCAGCUCUACCUGAAGGAUGAACUACCCUAAUGAGAUUAGCUCACUAAGAUGAUACAACAAUUGUCCCACGACUAGGGAACUCUAUAGUUAAAAGAUCAGGAUAUCCAAAAGUAAACCAUAAACCAAGAGCGGAACCAAAACUCACAAAUAUAGGUGGUCCCGCAUAGCUUCCAAGCCUA